GCUACCACGCGAGUGGAUGCCAAUCCCCAAAACCUCUCUCAGUUCGGACUGGAGUCUGCAACCCGACUCCACGAAGCUGGAUUCGCUAGUAAUCGCGCAUCAGCCACGGCGCGGUGAAUACGUUCCCGGGCCUUGUACACACCGCCCGUCAAGCCAUGGGAGCCGGGGUACCUGAAGUGCGUAACCGCGAGGAGCGCCCUAGGGUAAAACUGGUGACUGGGCUAAGUCGUAACAAGGUAAC
rnacentral:rRNA from 1 species